rnacentral:rRNA from 1 species
GAUCAGUGGCUCAGAGCGAACGCUGGCGGCAGGCUUAACACAUGCAAGUCGAGCGGGCGUAGCAAUACGUCAGCGGCAGACGGGUGAGUAACGCGUGGGAACGUACCUUUUGGUUCGGAACAACACAGGGAAACUUGUGCUAAUACCGGAUAAGCCCUUACGGGGAAAGAUUUAUCGCCGAAAGAUCGGCCCGCGCCUGAUUAGCUAGUUGGUAGGGUAAUGGCCUACCAAGGCGACGAUCAGUAGCUGGUCUGAGAGGAUGAUCAGCCACAUUGGGACUGAGACACGGCCCAAACUCCUACGGGAGGCAGCAGUGGGGAAUAUUGGACAAUGGGGCAACCCUGAUCCAGCCAUGCCGCGUGAGUGAUGAAGGCCCUAGGGUUGUAAAGCUCUUUUGUGCGGGAAGAUAAUGACGGUACCGCAAGAAUAAGCCCCGGCUAACUACGUG